GAUGAACGCUGGCGGCGUGCCUAAUACAUGCAAGUCGAGCGAACAGACGAGGAGCUUGCUCCUCUGACGUUAGCGGCGGACGGGUGAGUAACACGUGGAUAACCUACCUAUAAGACUGGGAUAACUUCGGGAAACCGGAGCUAAUACCGGAUAAUAUAUUAAACCGCAUGGUUCAAUAGUGAAAGACGGUUUUGCUGUAACUUAUGGAUGGAUCCGCGCCGCAUUAGCUAGUUGGUAAGGUAACGGCUUACCAAGGCAACGAUGCGUAGCCGACCUGAGAGGGUGAUCGGCCACACUGGAACUGAGACACGGUCCAGACUCCUACGGGAGGCAGCAGUAGGGAAUCUUCCGCAAUGGGCGAAAGCCUGACGGAGCAACGCCGCGUGAGUGAUGAAGGUCUUCGGAUCGUAAAACUCUGUUAUUAGGGAAGAACAAAUGUGUAAGUAACUAUGCACGUCUUGACGGUACCUAAUCAGAAAGCCACGGCUAACUACGUG
rnacentral:rRNA from 1 species